rnacentral:rRNA from 1 species
GAUGAACGCUGGCUACAGGCUUAACACAUGCAAGUCGAGGGGAAACGACGGGGAAGCUUGCUUCCCCGGGCGUCGACCGGCGCACGGGUGAGUAACGCGUAUCCAACCUGCCUCUGACUGAGGGAUAACCCGUCGAAAGUCGGCCUAAUACCUCAUGGCAUCGUCUGCGGGCAUCCAACGACGAUUAAAGAUUUCAUCGGUCAGAGAUGGGGAUGCGUCUGAUUAGCUUGUUGGCGGGGUAACAGCCCACCAAGGCGACGAUCAGUAGGGGUUCUGAGAGGAAGGUCCCCCACAUUGGAACUGAGACACGGUCCAAACGCCUACGGGAGGCAGCAGUGAGGAAUAUUGGUCAAUGGGCGAGAGCCUGAACCAGCCAAGUAGCGUGCAGGAUGACGGCCCUAUGGGUUGUAAACUGCUUUUAUGCGGGGAUAAAGUGAGGGACGUGGCCUUCAUUGCAGGUACCGCAUGAAUAAGGACCGGCUAAUUCCGUG